UGGGGAAUAUUGGGACAAUGGGCGCAAGCCUGAUCCAGCAAUGCCGCGUGUGUGAAGAAGGCCUUCGGGUUGUAAAGCACUUUUAUCAGGAGCGAAACGCUGUCGGCUAAUACCCGGCGGAACUGACGGUACCUGAGGAAUAAGCACCGGCUAACUUCGUGCCAGCAGCCGCGGUAAUACGAAGGGUGCAAGCGUUAAUCGGAAUUACUGGGCGUAAAGCGUGCGUAGGCGGUUUCUUAAGUCUGCUGUGAAAUCCCCGGGCUCAACCUGGGAAUGGCAGUGGAUACUGGGAGGCUAGAGUGUGUCAGAGGGUGGUGGAAUUCCCGGUGUAGCGGUGAAAUGCGUAGAGAUCGGGAGGAACAUCNGUGGCGAAGGCGGCCACCUGGGACAACACUGACGCUGAGGCACGAAAGCGUGGGGAGCAAACAGGAUUAGAUACCCUGGUAGUCCACGCCCUAAACGAUGCGAACUGGAUGUUGGUCUCAACUCGGAGAUCAGUGUCGAAGCUAACGCGUUAAGUUCGCCGCCU
rnacentral:rRNA from 1 species